rnacentral:rRNA from 1 species
ACAGAGAGUGCGAACGUUGUUCGGAAUUACUGGGCUUAAAGAGUACGUAGGCGGCAUGAUAAGUGAUAGGUGAAAUCCCACGGCUUACCCGUGGAACUGCCUAGCAAACUGUCAAGCUAGAGUGUGGUAGGGGAGAACAGAACUCAUGGUGGAGCGGUGAAAUGCGUAGAUAUCAUGAGGAAUACCGGUGGCGAAGGCGGUUCUCUGGUCCACAACUGACGCUGAGGUACGAAAGCUAGGGUAGCGAACGGG